rnacentral:tRNA from 1 species
GUGGGUAUAGCUCAGUGGUAGAGUGUGUGCUUAGCAUGCACAGGGUCCUGGGUUCAAUACCCAGCACCUGCA